rnacentral:lncRNA from 1 species
UGUUAUCAGAGUUACGGUGAAAACAAUUUUUAUAGGCGAAGUCGAUACACUGAAUGCUUGCUGGUAGGUGUGAAUAUCGAAAACCUGUAUGCGGCGUGGCAACCACGUGCUUUUCACAAAACUGGUAUGAUAAGCUACCAGUGCCCCUUUCUGCAACAGUCUAUGUAAAAAAUCGUUCAAUUUUAUUUUUGUUUUUUGCACAAGUGUCAUUUGGAAUAAACUACUUGGACAAAAAUUGAAGAUGUCUAGAAACCGACCGCUAGAAGCUGAACUCCAGUAUAUAGUAGACCAUCUAAGUGAUGAAGAGUAUCGUCUUUCCGAAUUUGAUGGCGAUGAGGGACGCUCAAUUUCCAGAACUCUCCAGACUACUAGUAUCGACAGCCAUCCGACAUGUUCCAGUACUUCAGUACAGCACUUGAAAAGGGUGCGCUAAUGUACUCUUACAAGAAAGACAAAUAAUUCUAGCGGAAACGAAGAUUUUGGUAAUUCGGAUCAAGAUCCUCACUUUGAUCCAGAUGACGGAUUUGGUUUCAAGCACAACAAGCUGGCUAGGUUAUUUCCUAAAAAAAUCAUUUUUUCUGAUGAAGACGACGAGGAUGAACAACUGUUAACAUUACCUCAAGCAACAAAUUCUCUACCUUUUAGACGCAGCAAUAGUAAACAGCUAUAUUUUAUAUAAGGAGACUCUGAAAAAAGAAAGUCAAGUGCUAAGCCUAUGACUGCAUUACAGUUCCGCAGUGAACUAGCUGGUAAUUUGAUUAGCACUUUUACUUUCAGAAAAAAGUCUGCACCACCAUCAAACUCAACUUUGAAUGCUGGUUCACACUUACCCACCAAAGGAACUUAUAGGCGAUGUGCCCUUUGUGCUUCAUCUAAAAAGAAACAAACGCGCAGUAAUUUGAUUUGUCAAGUUUGUAACGUUGCUCUAUGAAAAGACUGUUUUGCACCCUACCAUAGUAGAUAGAAAGUUAUUAGAUAAUAAAUUUAAAAUAUUACUGUAUUUAGUUUUUUUACAUUUUCAAAAUAAAGUAUUUUUUUUAUAAAUUUUUGUAAUUGAUUUUACUGGUCGUUAUAUAUACCAUUGCCCACUAAGUAUUAGUUGUUCGUCAAAAUGCACUCUGGUAGCUAUAUCUACCACCCUUUCCAGCCCUUCUGGCACAGAAAAAAUUUUUUUAAAAAUUUUUUGUCUUACUAACGAUGCAUAAUGAACUACUUUUACUAUUCAAAAGUAUAGUUUUACAAAAACAAUAGUUCUGCCCGUUAAAGGGUUAAGG